rnacentral:rRNA from 1 species
AUGGCCCGUGCUGUUGUUCCGUUGAAUUUUAAUGCGUUCCUUGAGAAAGCAAAGUUGAAAGAUGAUGGUAGCAAUUACACGGACUGGGUCCAUCACUUGAUGAUUAUCCCCAUUGCUGCACAGAAGAAUUACAUCCUGGAAGCACCGCUGGGUGCCAGGCCUGCUGCUGGAGCAAUACCAGAUGUUAUGAAUGUCUGGCAGAGCAAAGCUGAUGUCUACUCGAUAGUUCAGUGUGCCAUGCUUUACGGCUUCGAAUCGGGACUUCAACGACGUUUUGAACGUCAUGGAGCAUAUGAGAUGUUCCAGGAGUUGAAGUUAAUAUUUCAAGCAAAUGCCCGAAUUGAGAGAUAUGAAGUCUCCAAUAAGUUCUAUAGCUGCAAGAUGGAGGAGAACAGUUCUGUCAGUGAGCAUAUACUCAAAAUGUCUGGGUAUAAUAAUCACUUGAUUCAGAUGGGAGUUAAUCUUCCAGAUGAUUGCGUCAUUGACAGAAUUCUCAAAUCACUGCCACCAAGCUACAAGAGCUUCGUGAUGAACUAUAAUAUGCAAGGGAUGAAUAAGACUAUUCCCGAGCUCUUCGCAAUGCUGAAAGCUGCGGAGGUAGAAAUCAAGAAGGAGCAUCAAGUGUUGAUGGUCAACAAGACCACUACUUCAAGAAAAAGGGCAAAGGGAAGAAGAAGGGGAACUUUAAGAAGAACAGAAAGCAAGUUGCUGCUCAGGAGAAGAAACCCAAGUCUGGACCUAAGCCUGAAACUGAGUGCUUCUACUGCAAGCAGACUGGUCACUGGAAGCGGAACUGCCCCAAGUAUUUGGCGGAUAAGAAGGAUGGCAAUGUGA